rnacentral:rRNA from 1 species
UACGUAGGGUGCAAGCGUUAAUCGGAAUUACUGGGCGUAAAGCGUGCGCAGGCGGUUAUGCAAGACAGGUGUGAAAUCCCCGGGCUCAACCUGGGAAUGGCAUUUGGGACUGCAAGGCUUGAGUGCGGCAGAGGAGACUGGAAUUCCUGGUGUAGCAGUGAAAUGCGUAGAUAUCAGGAGGAAUACCGAUGGCGAAGGCAGGUCUCUGGGCUGACACUGACGCUCAUGCACGAAAGCGUGGGGAGCAAACAGG